rnacentral:rRNA from 1 species
GAUGAACGCUGGCGGCGUGCCUAAUACACGCAAGUCGAGCGAACGGACGAGAAGCUUGCUUCUCUGAUGUUAGCGGCGGACGGGUGAGUAACACGUGGAUAACCUACCUAUAAGACUGGGAUAACUUCGGGAAACCGGAGCUAAUACCGGAUGAUAUUUUGAACCGCAUGGUUCAAAAGUGAAAGACGGUCUUGCUGUCACUUAUAGAUGGAUCCGCGCUGCAUUAGCUAGUUGGUAAGGUAACGGCUUAACAAGGCAACGAUGCAUAGCCGACCUGAGAGGGUGAUCGGCCACACUGGAACUGAGACACGGUCCAGACUCCUACGGGAGGCAGCAGUAGGGAAUCUUCCGCAAUGGGCGAAAGCCUGACGGAGCAACGCCGCGUGAGUGAUGAAGGUCUUCGGAUCGUAAAACUCUGUUAUUAGGGAAGAACAUAUGUGUAAGUAACUGUGCACAUCUUGACGGUACCUAAUCAGAAAGCCACGGCUAACUACGUG